rnacentral:lncRNA from 1 species
GAGGUUUCUCCUGUGUGGGAGAUUCUGGGGACUCAGUUGGAGUCUCCUGUUGAAAUGGCAAAUGUUCAUUCUCCUCAGGGGACUGUGGAGGCAGAGUUGGGGCUUCAUGCUGGGUUGCAAAAGCUUCCACAUUAAGGGGCACAGAGGGCUGAGUGACAGACUCACGUUGAACUGGCAAAGGUCCCACCUCUGUAGUGGGUUCUGGUGUUACAGUAACCUGCACGCCUGCAGGUUUAACAGUGAUAUUGGGCAGGUUUAACUGUUGAACCUGAUGGUGACCUGGAGGUGCAACUUUCACCUCAUGAUGCUCUAGAGGUUGAGCUGGGUGCUCCUGCUGGGUUGGAAUAGGUUCCACCUCCCCCAAAGACAGCUCUGGUGGCUGAGCUGGUUGUUCUUGCAGGAUUGCAGGCUCAGCCUUCUUGGGGUGCUGUGGAGGCUGAGUCACAGUUACAGUAAGUGCCAAAUCUACAGGUUUAACAGUGACAUUGUGUAAUUUUGGCCGCUGAGCUUCAUUCUGACUCAGAGAUGGCACAUUUACCUCCUGAGGUGGUACCUUCUCCUCUGGUGGCUGAGCUGGGGCCUCCUGAGGGGUCCAAGGUUCUACUUCCUCAGGUGCCUCUGUAGGUUGAGCUGAGGCUUCCUGUUGGACUUCAGGGGUACUUGAAGGUUCAGCUGGGCCUCCGGUGGGCUUACAGAAUUUCCAGCUUCCUUAAGGCUCUCUGGAGGCUGAGAUAGAGCGUCCUGAAGAAGUGGAGGUGUUUCUGUCUCUUCAGGGGACUCUGGAUGCUUGGCCUGGGCCUCCACUCCAGGCACAAAAGGUUCAGGUUCCUCUACAGUGGGCUGGAGAGGUCCUGCAGGGGUCUCCUGCAGGAGUGAAGAAAUUUCAAGCUCCUCAGGGAGCUCUGGGGGUUGAUCUGGUCCCCCUGGGAAAUCCAUUGGUCGGUUUUCCUCAGGGUAUAUGAUAUCCAUACCAGAAUCUGAAUAAUCGUCCUGCAGUUGUUCUAGGAGCUCUUUAUUUGCAAAUUGGUUUGGAGUUCCAAUAACAACUUUGGCAAGCCUUCGAUGCUGAACUAGAUCUUUGUCCAGGUUUGGGGAUGAAACAAAAAAACUUUCUUUGGUUUAAACCCUGACUAUCCAGAGGUGGAGCAAGUAUUUCCAAUGACUGGUGAUCUUCUGGCUCAUCUCCAGUUUUCAUCUUACUUUUGAGUGGAGGAGGCAGAACUAUGGCCUGAUUCUCAUCACCCAACGCUGGAACCACUUGUAAGAGCCUUUCGUGCAGGGUUGGCUUGUCAUUCAGAUACUGAUCUGUCUCUGGGGGCAGCUCACCAUUUGAAUCCGUGUCCAGGAAUGGAACCAAAGUCUCAGUCAACUGCUUAGGCGGGGCCGACAUCUGGGCUGGAGCAGAGGACCUCAAGUUAUUAAAGCCCCCCCCCGCCUCUGCGGGGCGGGUAAGUGCCUGGAGCGAUUCAUGCAGGAGUUCAGAAGAGUGCGAAGACCAGGGUUCCGGGGGUUCCGGGGGUUCCGGGGAUCUCCGAGGGCCGGAGGUCCGACGGGCCCACGCGGGAAGCGGAGCUGCCUGGCCCAACAACCACGACGGUUGCCAGGUAAAAAUAAACAAAAGGUAGAGGCAAAGCCUGGACAUGAUACUCUGCGGAGCAGAGACCCAAGCCAGUGGGGCGCUCGGUCUCGCCAGAGAAACCGAAAUGUUCAGGGAGCCCGGUGACGCCCCCAUUGUUAGCAACUGCGCGCCCCUCCCCCGCCUGCGUCCCACCCUUUAUUUACCACCUUUGUGAGCUUGGCACAGCUGGGGUGCGGCUGGGCUCCGAAGCCCCUGGUUCAAGCCUCUUCCCCAGAAUCCCCAGGCCAAGCCUCCCUUCCCCUGCAAAGGCCACCACUACCUCCCGCCGAGCUACAGGGAAGGAUUUGGGCUGCUGGAGUCUGCAAGGACCCAGACUCCAGCCGCUCUGAGGUGUAGGGUCGGGGUGUGGAGCAGUUUCCCCAGGAAGCAGAAGACCUGGCGUCCCGGAGAUUCAAAAUGCUAGUCCACUUCUGGCGGAUCGAACUUGUCCUCUUCAAAGCUUAAAUCCGAGACACAUUCCUCCUCCCCCUGGCUGUACUGCUUCUAAGAAAAGAGGCUGACCUGAAGAAUAAGCACAGGGACAGUGGGGAGGGGAGCACACUUCACGGUUACUCUGAAUGUUGCCAUUUCCUCUAAGUUCUCCCAUCCGAGUACUAACCAGGCCCGACCCUGCUUAGCUUCCGAGAUCAGACGAGAUCGGGCGCGUUCAGGGUGGUAUGGCCCUAGACUCCUCUAAGUUCUCAAUACGCAUGUCUGAGUUUUAAUUCACUACUGUGUUAGGAGGAGGCUACCUACCACUGAAUCAGCGAUGGCUCCAAACUCUGUGGGAGGGGCUUGGGGGCAUGGGGGGAGGGGAGAGGUGAGCAAUUCAUUCUGGGAGUGAGAGUCUGAAACCAAGGGACUAGCCCUCCGUUUACAUUAGGAUGGAAAACUUCCGCGUCCCACCUACACUCAACACACCUGUCAAUCUAGAACAAGUAACCUUGAGGUCUACCCUGUGUGCACGCAUGGAGAAGGCACUUAAAAUGUUGAGGUCAGCAUGUUAAACUUUCUGGAAAUACUGUAACUAGCGCCCCGUUUACUUCCUUCACUGUCCUUUCUAUAAUCUCUUUCAUUUUAGUCCGUGUUUAUGGGCUGGCACAAGCUCUGGAGAACGUAGGUUUUUGUUUUGCUUUGCUUUCAAGGAUUUAUUUAUUCAGAGAGACAGAGGCAGAGACACAGGCUGAGGAAGAAGCAGGCUCCAUGCAGGGAGCCCGACGCGGAACUCGAUCCGGGUCUCCAGGAUCACACCCUGGGCUGCAGGCCGCACUAACCCGCUGCGCCGCCAGGGCUGUUGGAGAGAGACGGAUUUUAUCCUAUUCCCAGUGUCUAGCACAUACUAUGGUUUUUAAAUGGAACUAAUUCCAUAACUGGUCUUAUUUAGGAAUGGAUCUGUUGUUAGAGUCAGGUUUCUGAAAUCUAUAGCAUCAAUACUGAAUCUCUUUCUCUCACAUUUCACAGGAAGCUAGACUUCUUAAAGUGUAAACUUGGAUAAGUCUGAGAUUUCCUUGACUGGCUUGAUUUAAAUUGAAUUAGAAGAAUUUUUGCACAGACAAAACUUCAAAUGCUUUUUCAGAAAGUAACCAUCUUUUCAUUCUCUACUCUCUUCCCUUCAAAACAAAUGUUGCAACUUCGGAGUUAGUUAAAUAAUCAGAAUUCUAGCCCCAAAUUAAGUUCUUAAUGACAUGAAACACAUUCUUUGCUCCUAUUAUUUAUUUUCUUUUAACAUUCAAUAUAUAGAACAUUGGCAUUUUAUUUUAGAAAUUACUUUGUCAACUUAAUCCCUAAUUCAGGGUUAGGGUUACAGAAAAGUUCUUCAACAAAAUAUUUCAUACAAGAUGUCUAUGUGAUACUGAUAUCUGGGUAAUAUACCUUAUUUGAAAGACAAUUAAAAAAAAUAUUUUAUUUAUUCAUGAGAGCCACACAGAGCCCUGAGGGGAGCCUGAUGUGGGACUCCAUCUCAGGACCCUGGGAUCAGGCCCCAAACCCAAGGCAGAUGCUCAACCACUGAGUCACUCAGGUGUCCCAAUGCACAUAAAGGUUUUCAAAUGCUGUAGCAUCAUCUCACUUAAGGCCAUAGUUACUCUGUUCCCAAGUCCCUGAGAUUCUGUUUGAGGGGAGCGCUAAAAGGCUGUGUCCUCUUCUAUGUCCACAACUAUAGGAGCACUCUGAUGCAAUUGGCUCUCCAAAUUUCAAAUAAGGGGUCAGAGCCAAGGGCCAAGACUUCAAGAAAAGCCCCAGAAAUUCCCUGCACUCAAAAGCAGUUUCAGAGUUUCACAUUUCCCAAAAGAUGACAGAGCUAACUAUAGUCUUCCAAAUCCUGUCAGUUGCUUUAAAUUAUGGUUAUAGUAUAGUAUAGUAUAGCUGUGGAACCCUUGAGCUUUAAUAACCAGGUGCUUGAAUUAAAUCAUGUAGCUCCUCUUGGGUUCUGGCAUCUGUAAUCUCUUCACACUGUCUGUAUUCCACAGCUAUUUUACCACUUUCUGUAAUAAAGUUAACGAGGAUCAAUUCAGAGUUUUUCUUGUUCUAAAAUGUGCUGUACUGGGUGUUAUGCUAUAUGUUGGCAAACUGAACUCCAAUAAAAAAAAUAAAAA